rnacentral:rRNA from 1 species
AUGGUUCUUGUCCGCUACGACGUCACCUACCUCAUUGAGCACCCCCCUCCCCCCAACGCCGACACCCAGUACCUCGAACUCGACACGCAUAUCUUUCUCUGGAUGUAUUCCACCCUCGCGGACACUCUCGUUGAUCAUGUGAUCGGCGCCACCAACACCCACGCGCUCUGGACGCGGAUCCGCGACUACUUUCUCUCCAACCACGCCGCCCAUUACAUGAUGCUCAACAGGCAGUACCGCAACCUCAAACAGGGGGAUCUCUCGGUUGACGAGUACGCGCGCCGCAUGAAGCUGCUCACCGCCGGUCUCGCCGACAUUGACCACGCGGUCACCGAGGUCGACCUCACCAUCUAGUUCCUGCACGGCCUCGACCAACGCCUCGACAACAUUCGCGUCGUAUUGGGUGACACCGUCCCUUUGCCGCCGUUCGAGACGGUCUUCUCGCAAGUCAAACUCGCCGAGGAGAAUCUCGCCCAACGCGCCGCCAAGGCGGGCGCCAUGGUUCUCGCUGUCCAGGGGAGUGGUGCUCCCCCGGGCGGUUCCUCCAGGGCCAGCGGCGGCAGCGGUGGAGACCGGGGCGACAAGGCACGGCCGGCGAGCCCGUGGCGGCUGUGCACGGUGACGCAGGUGAAGGAGCUCAAGUGCGUGCUCCGUCUGCUGCCGGUGUGGGCGUGCGGCAUCAUCUUCGCGGCCGCCUACCCGCAGAUGAGCACGACCUUCAUCCUCCAGGGGGCACGUUGGACCCGCGCGUCGGCAGCUUCCGCGUCCCCGCCGCCGUGCUCACUGUGGGCCCAACCCUGUCUCCGAUGCAUGCAUGGCUAG